rnacentral:rRNA from 1 species
ACUCCUACGGGAGGCAGCAGUGGGGAAUAUUGCACAAUGGGCGAAAGCCUGAUGCAGCGACGCCGCGUGAGGGAUGACGGCCUUCGGGUUGUAAACCUCUUUCAGUAGGGAACAAGGCUGGUUGAGGGUACCUGCAGAAGAAGCGCCGGCUAACUACGUGCCAGCAGCCGCGGUAAUACGUAGGGCGCAAGCGUUAUCCGGAAUUAUUGGGCGUAAAGAGCUCGUAGGCGGUUUGUCGCGUCUGCCGUGAAAGUCCGGGGCUCAACUCCGAUCUGCGGUGGGUAGGCAGACUAGAGUGAUGUAGGGGAGACUGGAAUUCCUGGUGUAGCGGUGAAAUGCGCAGAUAUCAGGAGGAACACCGAUGGCGAAGGCAGGUCUCUGGGCAUUAACUGACGCUGAGGAGCGAAAGCAUGGGGAGCGAACAGGAUUAGAUACCCUGGUAGUCCAUGCCGUAAACGUUGGGCACUAGGUGUGGGGGACAUCCACGUUUUCGCGCCGUAGCUAACGCAUUAAGUGCCCCGCCUGGGGAGUACGGCCGCAAGGCUAAAACUCAAAGGAAUUGACGGGGGCCCGCACAAGCGGCGGAGCAUGCGGAUUAAUUCGAUGCAACGCGAAGAACCUUACCAAGGCUUGACAUGAACUGGAAACACUUGGAAACAUGCCCCGCUUGCGGUCGGUUUACAGGUGGUGCAUGGUUGUCGUCAGCUCGUGUCGUGAGAUGUUGGGUUAAGUCCCGCAACGAGCGCAACCCUCGUUCUAUGUUGCCAGCACGUAAUGGUGGGGACUCAUGGGAGACUGCCGGGGUCAACUCGGA